GAAGAGGGGCUAGCGAGAAACA
rnacentral:miRNA from 1 species